GACUGCUCUAGUGGCAUAAAUGGUUAGAGUAUCUGCCUCACAUGCAGGAGGUCAGGGUUUCGAACCCCAGCCAAGUCA